rnacentral:rRNA from 1 species
GACGAACGCUGGCGGCGUGCCUAACACAUGCAAGUCGAGCGAUGAUGUUCCUUCGGGAACUGAUUAGCGGCGGACGGGUGAGUAACACGUGGGCAACCUGCCUUGUAGAGGGGAAUAGCCUUCCGAAAGGAAGAUUAAUACCGCAUAAUAUUACGACUUCACAUGAAGAUGUAAUCAAAGGAGUAAUCCGCUACAAGAUGGGCCCGCGUCGCAUUAGCUAGUUGGUGAGGUAAUGGCUCACCAAGGCGACGAUGCGUAGCCGACCUGAGAGGGUGAUCGGCCACAUUGGAACUGAGACACGGUCCAGACUCCUACGGGAGGCAGCAGUGGGGAAUAUUGCACAAUGGGGGAAACCCUGAUGCAGCAACGCCGCGUGAGUGAUGACGGCCUUCGGGCUGUAAAGCUCUAUCAGCAGGGAAGAAUAAUGACGGUACCUGACUAAGAAGCCCCGGCUAACUACGUGCCAGCCGCCGCAGUAAGAC